AGCGAACGCUGGCGGCAGGCUUAACACAUGCAAGUCGAACGGACCCUUCGGGGUUAGUGGCGGACGGGUGAGUAACACGUGGGAACGUGCCUUUAGGUUCGGAACAACACAGGGAAACUUGUGCUAAUACCGGAUGUGCCCUUCGGGGGAAAGAUUUUUCGCCUUUAGAGCGGCCCGCGUCUGAUUAGCUAGUUGGUGGGGUAAAGGCCUACCAAGGCGACGAUCAGUAGCUGGUCUGAGAGGAUGGCCAGCCACAUUGGGACUGAGACACGGCCCAAACUCCUACGGGAGGCAGCAGUGGGGAAUCUUGCGCAAUGGGCGAAAGCCUGACGCAGCCAUGCCGCGUGGAUGAUGAAGGUCUUAGGAUUGUAAAAUCCUUUCACCGGGGACGAUAAUGACGGUACCCGGAGAAGAAGCCCCGGCUAACUUCGUGCCAGCAGCCGCCGUAA
rnacentral:rRNA from 1 species